CCGGCGCACGGGUGCGUAACGCGUAUGCAAUCUACCUUGUACAGGGGGAUAGCCCAGAGAAAUUUGGGUUAAUACCCCAUGGUGUAUUAGAGUGGCAUCAUUUAAAUACUAAAGUUCCAACGGUACAAGAUGAGCAUGCGUCCCAUUAGUUAGUUGGUAAGGUAACGGCUUACCAAGACGAUGAUGGGUAGGGGUCCUGAGAGGGAGAUCCCCCACACUGGUACUGAGACACGGACCAGACUCCUACGGGAGGCAGCAGUGAGGAAUAUUGGUCAAUGGGCGAGAGCCUGAACCAGCCAUGCCGCGUGCAGGAAGACGGUCCUAUGGAUUGUAAACUGCUUUUAUACAGGAAGAAACACUCCCUCGUGAGGGAACUUGACGGUACUGUAGGAAUAAGGAUCGGCUAACUCCGUGCCAGCAGCCGCGGUAAUACGGAGGAUCCAAGCGUUAUCCGGAAUCAUUGGGUUUAAAGGGUCUGUAGGCGGUUUAAUAAGUCAGUGGUGAAAUCUGGUCGCUCAACGAUCAAACGGCCAUUGAUACUGUUAAACUUGAAUUAGUGUGAAGUAACUAGAAUAUGUAGUGUAGCGGUGAAAUGCUUAGAUAUUACAUGGAAUACCAAUUGCGAAGGCAGGUUACUAACACUAUAUUGACGCUGAUAGACGAAAGCGUGGGUAGCGAACAGGAUUAGAUACCCUGGUAGUCCACGCCGUANACGAUGGAUACUAGCUGUUUGGAGCAAUCUGAGUGGCUAAGCGAAAGUGAUAAGUAUCC
rnacentral:rRNA from 1 species